AAAUUGAAGAGUUUGAUCAUGGCUCAGAUUGAACGCUGGCGGCAGGCCUAACACAUGCAAGUCGAACGGUAACAGGAAACAGCUUGCUGUUUCGCUGACGAGUGGCGGACGGGUGAGUAAUGUCUGGGAAACUGCCUGAUGGAGGGGGAUAACUACUGGAAACGGUAGCUAAUACCGCAUAACGUCGCAAGACCAAAGAGGGGGACCUUCGGGCCUCUUGCCAUCGGAUGUGCCCAGAUGGGAUUAGCUAGUAGGUGGGGUAACGGCU
rnacentral:rRNA from 2 species